UCGAUGGGCAGCGUUGAUUGGCCUGAUCUGGCUGGCUAGGUAGGUGACCCCUUCCUCCCUCACCGCUCCAUGUGUACCCUCCUGAAGCUGCACACUGAAUUGAAGAGGAUGGCCAUCCCCAGUAGGGGAGG
rnacentral:snRNA from 1 species